rnacentral:rRNA from 2 species
CUUAAUGGCCCGGCGUGCGGUCCGUAGUCGUGCAGGUAACCGAGCCCAUUGAUUGAUGGUGCUUGCACCUGAUUGAUUUUGGUCGCCAACGAGUGGCGGACGGGUGAGUAACACGUAGGUAACCUGCCCAGAAGCGGGGGACAACAUUUGGAAACAGAUGCUAAUACCGCAUAACAACGUUGUUCGCAUGAACAACGCUUAAAAGAUGGCUUCUCGCUAUCACUUCUGGAUGGACCUGCGGUGCAUUAGCUUGUUGGUGGGGUAACGGCCUACCAAGGCGAUGAUGCAUAGCCGAGUUGAGAGACUGAUCGGCCACAAUGGGACUGAGACACGGCCCAUACUCCUACGGGAGGCAGCAGUAGGGAAUCUUCCACAAUGGGCGCAAGCCUGAUGGAGCAACACCGCGUGAGUGAAGAAGGGUUUCGGCUCGUAAAGCUCUGUUGUUAAAGAAGAACACGUAUGAGAGUAACUGUUCAUACGUUGACGGUAUUUAACCAGAAAGUCACGGCUAACUACGUGCCAGCAGCCGCGGUAAUACGUAGGUGGCAAGCGUUAUCCGGAUUUAUUGGGCGUAAAGAGAGUGCAGGCGGUUUUCUAAGUCUGAUGUGAAAGCCUUCGGCUUAACCGGAGAAGUGCAUCGGAAACUGGAUAACUUGAGUGCAGAAGAGGGUAGUGGAACUCCAUGUGUAGCGGUGGAAUGCGUAUAUAUAUGGAAAGAACACCAGUGGCGAACGCGGCUACCUGGUCUGCAACUGACGCUGAGACUCGAAAGCAUGGGUAGCGAACAAGAUUAGAUACUCCGGUAGUCCAUGCCGUAAACGAUGAGUGCUGU